AGUGAUGAUGGUCACAACAAACUAACUAAUAUUACAAAUAAUAUUGUUUAUCAAGAAAUCUUGGACUACAUUUCUCAAACAACUGUUGCACCAGACAAAACUAACACCAUGUCCGACGUUUAUUGAUGAUCUCUGGAGAACAAUAUGUGAAAGCUGUUGAAUUGAGACAAUUGAAUUCAAGUGAUAUGUAUAUCUAGAUUUGACAAAUCCUCUAUGGUUCAUUAAAUUAGGGUGACAUGUUAUUCAAAAUGAGACCAGGUAAUUUCUAAAUUCAAUUCACUCUUUUUUCUUGUUUUCAAAUUUUUACUAUUAAGUUUCCUAGCUUAUUAAUUGAGGAAUAGUCCAAUUUUUAAUCAUCAA